UACGUAGGUGGCAAGCGUUGUCCGGAUUUAUUGGGCUUAAAGGGUGCGUAGGCGGCCCUGUAAGUCAGUGCUGAAAUAUCCCGGCUUAACCGGGAGGGUGGCAUUGAUACUGCGGGGCUAGAGUACAGAUGAGGUAGGCGGAAUUGACGGUGUAGCGGUGAAAUGCUUAGAUAUCGUGAAGAACACCUAUAGCGAAGGCAGCUUACUAGGCUGUAACUGACGCUGAGGCACGAAAGUGUGAGGAGCAAACAGG
rnacentral:rRNA from 1 species